UCGUGAUGUGCCAAGCAGUCAAUGUCGUCGAUCGAACAAGCUCCCGUUCCAACGCCCACUCCACCGUCGCCGGCAGCCACCGAUCCACUCCCAAAACAGCACGGGAUAAACAUGCACGGUUGCAACGCCUGGUGGGUCAUUGAGCGGACAUCGUUGAUGAUCGAUGUAUGAAAGUUGCGGGUAAGCCUCAGGUACAGGUACAGGAUAAGUUGAUGAAAGAAGUUUUUCUAUGGGUUUUUAGGUAAUUGCGGACAACAAGAAAGAAAAUGUGAGGAACAAAUACACUCUGCACAAACAAGUGUGGUAACAUUCUCCACAUUGGUCAUAACGAUCGAUUUUUGCCGUAGCACAAGUGGAUACUUGACAUGACAGUCAUUGGAUGAAUUAAAUUAGUACAGUCGAGACAAACAAUGUGUUAAAAUGUGUUAAACAAAAAAAAUACAAACGAUGCGAUGCCCACUAAC